GGCACUGCUCCUUGCAGCUAGUCACUGCAGGGUUGUCAGAGCUGUUGCUGGACGUGCAGAAGGGAGAGAUGAAACAUGGACCGAGGGCGGCAGCCAAACGGGAUCCUCAAAACUUGUUUGCUGCUGAAAUGGGAGAAUUGAAUAUUUUUCCACUUAAUCUAAAAAUUGGCCUUGGUUUCUUGGAAUGUUUCUCACCUCCUCUCAGCAUCAUCUACUGGAAAGAAGGCUCAAGAGAAAGUUGGGGAAGAUCUAUCAAUGAAACACCCGAGGAAACCCACCCUGAUACCUUCAUUUCUCCAUUUGUAAGACCAGCAUAUUCAUACCCGUGUCACCUUUUUCUUUAGAAUAACAUGAAAAUGAAUAUGCAAAAGCAUUAAGCUUUCAGAGGAAAGAUGCUAUGCAAAUUUGAGGUGACCUCACUAUUACAAUAAUAAUUUUUUUUUGCACUAAGACGAAAUUUUUCCUUAUCCUAAAGCCUUCCUACCAAGGUAGACUUUUUUCAAUGUGGGUUUUUGUGAUUUAAAUUCACCAAGCACUGAUAGUUUCAAGUUUAUUUCAGUAUUAAGCAGGAAAGCAGUUUCUGCAUGAAAUGUGAAAACUAAAAUACCAUAGUAAUGAAAAAGAUUCCGCAUCCUCAGGUGCAGCCCACGUUGUGGUGUAAUGCAAAUCUAUGGCUAUACUGUAUCACAGCGAAUAAAUCCAUUUGGAGAAAAAGGCACCUGGUGAAAGGCCACAGUGCAAUGGAAUGCAAUGCUGCUAUGUGCAAUGCUGCUUACAAGAAAACUUUGGGUAAAUAUUGCACGGGUCAAACUUACGAUCCAACUUUUUCACGUAACAGGGCCGCGUAUUGGAUGCCUUCAGAAUUCCCAUUCAGCGUGUCCACUUUGCUCUUUGAUGCAAUGCCACCUCACAAAAGCAUUCAAGCCACAGUCAUCUAUUUUUUUCCUUCUUUCUCCCCUUGCUAUAAUGACCCAAAUCUCCGUUUUUACUUUGUAAUUUUUGUAAGUUUUUUAAGGCAAUGACUAUAAUAAUUCAUGUUUAGUGAAAUAAUUCUUUUGGUUGAUAUAUUUCACAGUUUGGUCUCUAAAAAAAGUUAAAAAACAACAACAAGAACCAAAAACAAACAACCCCCCGCCCCAAGCUUCCCUCUGCUUGAUGCCAUAGACAAGAGUCCAAAGGACAUUAGCUGCUCCAUUGCACACAUUGGAAGGGAGAGUUUGCUGUGAGCUCAGUCCUUCUAAUAGACUGGCAAUUUUGUAAAAGAUUUAGAGAAUUUUGUUUAACCAUUUCUGCAUGUGUUUUUAAUGAGCUCAUGAUGGUUUCUAACAAAGGCCAGGUUGUGUGUUUUCCAGCACUUUCUGACCUGAUUCCUCCCUGCUGACUUGGGGAGUGGGCACCUGUGCUUCUCUCCUGGCUCACCUAUGGGAGUCGGGGUGGUGGGGCCAUCUCCGGGCCUGUCUUCACGCCAGGGAUGAAUCAUGUAGUAGGCAGAGUGGAAGGAGUCUCUUUGUUGACAGCUUUCCAUCUGGACUUUGGAUACGGCUGAUCGUUCAUGUAGAGCCGUGGUUAGCUGGAAGGGGCUACGCGAGUCAGCUCCUCCUUAAGGGAUCAAGGGUGUGUAAAACAUCAGGAAAGAACUGCCUGGGAUUUCAUUUGCAAAGCUUAGAGAAGCAUUUUAUCCUCUGAGUUUCAGGUAGCCAGGGUUGUGAAUGUGUAUGACUGCAGCUUUGACAGGUCGGUCUUUAAUAGUCAAUAGGAUCAUUUAUAGCCUCGUUCAGAUAAUCCAACUGGAGUACACCUGAAUAAAUACAUCAAGUUCAGGUGGCUAAAAGCUAACCCCUUUUGAGUUUAAUAAUUAAAAUAAACAGAGCUAUGAAGAUGAAUUUCAGUUUGUCAUGCAUAAAUGUAAGAAGCUCCAUAAAGGAUGGUGUUCUGUGAUUCAUAUAGGAGUAUGAUGGAUGUAUGAUACGUUUUCCACAGCUAUUUAAGAAAAAACGAUUAUCUUAGUCAUGGGGUAAAGUUAUGUGAAGCAUUGCACCAUCCAGGCUGUGUCUGGGCCAGUACAGAUUUUUUUUCUUUUUCUUUUUCUUUCUUUCUUUUUUUUUUUUUUGUGAAAGAUUACUUCUUGGCAAACUAGAUAUGCAAACGCCAGAAUACAGUAAAACCACAUUUAAUUGGACCUACUUGCCAACUUCUUGAACACAGCUUGGAUUAUUCCACUGGAGGCUGCUUCUGUUAAAAGCUGGGGGAGGAGGAAGUGGCAUAUUGACAAGACUUCAGAUAAUUUUUUUUUCACUCGAAGUACAAUUAUGCAAUGAGCCAAGUUUGGAAGUAUUUUACUAUGUUUAAUAAUUAUUAUUAAAGAUAUUGUAAAACAUAUGCAUUUGUUAAGUGGAAUGUAAUGGGAGUAAAAUCAUGUCAUCAAUUUUCCUUUGGAUUUAUUUUCCCAUUUUGUGUUUUAUUUGACAGCCUUCCAAAUUGAUUCUAGCCAAAACCAUGCACUCUAAUAUAUAUCAUACUUGAUAUUAAAGUGAGAAUGCGAGUAAUUUAUAGAAUCUGAGUGAGAACAGUUUUCUUCUCUUAGCCAGCCUAUAUGGAGCUGCCACCUCUGCUCAGGUAGCAACCGACACAUGCCUUGUACACAGAAAGGAAAAUAAUAGGGGUCGAGAAAUCCUCCACACAUCCUUCCUGAUAGACACUCCAAAACCCACAUAUCCCAGGCAUUGUUCAGUGGGAGAUCAGGGGCAAGGAGAAGGAUAACUAUUUCUUUAUGUGUGUGUGAAUCUAGAGGAACCAGACUUGUCUCUGGAAAUGCAAGUGGGAAGUGGGAUUCACUGAGAAGCCAUCAUUCUGCUCAGGUGAGUCCUGACUUCAGGCGAGGGAUCCUAAAGGUGACACCGCGAUCCUUCACCUGGAAAGCCAAGGAGACAUGACAUCAGUGUGUUUCACAUCCUAAGCUUAAACAAAUGUAUAUUGUUUUUACCGCCUCUUUCUCAAGGGGGAACACUGCCCCUGAAACUGCACUCCUUGAAACCGAGCAAAGGUGCCAUCGCUAAUGAUUAGCAAGACGCUCCGGAUGGUUUGCAUCGAACUCCACCUGCUAUGUGAAAACCCCAUGCUUUUCUCACUUUCCCAUUCAAGCUGCUUAGCAGUUGGGUCCUCUCCUCUGAGUGUGGUUAUGUGUCAGUUUGACUUCUGUGUGCCCUGCGAUUUCGUUGUUUUCUUCUGCCCUGCCACAGCAAAUGACCAGUGGAGGCAACCAGCGGACGGAGGAAAAGGGCAGGUCCCUGCAUCCAUCUCAGCGCCCUGCAGCCGGCGGCCUGUCCUUUCAGGCGGGAGUUCCCAGCGGCGUUCCUAGGUGUUUUGAAUGUGUGCCCCGGGGCUGGGGGAAGCCUCGUGCAGUUCUGCUGCUGUGGGAGGCAGGGGGGACUGGAGGGGACGGGAGCAGUGUGAGGCUUUCAUGUGCAGAGGGGACAUGAGGACAUCUGGAUGGCAUCCCUGUGAGCAGGGCUCCCGCUGCAGGCCUUUGAAAACCCCGCUGCCCUGGCUCCCCAGUGCCUUGGAACUUUCUCCCUGGAGAAUGCAGAAAAGCCAGUGCCCUUGAUUUCUUAGACAUCUACAGCUUCGACACGUGCAGGGUUAUCCAGGAGCAGUGAGGUUUGGGGUGAGGGCCUGAGCACUUUCUGAAAAGUGCUUGUUUCUAAGAACCUGGAACUAUGAGUGAGGAGUGACAUGAGUUCUGCCCUCAAGUCCUCUGAUAACCAGCUGUGCAGUCUUGAACAAGUGACUUCAUCUCUUCAUCUUUAAAAUAAACCUUUUGGGCCAAAUGA
rnacentral:lncRNA from 1 species